rnacentral:rRNA from 1 species
GAUGAACGCUAGCGGCAGGCCUAAUACAUGCAAGCCGAACGGCAAGAUUUUCAGCAAUGGAAAUCCUAGGGUGGCGUAAGGGUGCGUAACACGUAUGCAAUCUGCCCUCAACAGGAGGAUAGCUCCCCGAAAGGGGAAUUAAGACUCCAUAAGAUCUUAGAGUGGCAUCACUUAGAGAUUAAACUACCAGGGGUUGAGGAUGAGCAUGCGCAUGAUUAGUUAGUUGGCGGGGUAACGGCCCACCAAGACGAUGAUCAUUAGGGGAACUGAGAGGUUGAUCCCCCACACUGGC